rnacentral:rRNA from 1 species
GUCUCUCUUGAGUGGAUCCUGAGUACGACGGAGCACGUGAAAUUCCGUCGGAAUCUGGGAGGACCAUCUCCUAAGGCUAAAUACUCUCUAGUGACCGAUAGUGAACCAGUACCGUGAGGGAAAGGUGAAAAGCACCCCGGAAGGGGAGUGAAAUAGAACCUGAAACCGUGUGCUUACAAGUAGUCAGAGCCCGUUAAUGGGUGAUGGCGUGCCUUUUGUAGAAUGAACCGGCGAGUUACGAUUUGAUGCAAGGUUAAGCAGUAAAUGUGGAGCCGUAGCGAAAGCGAGUCUGAAUAGGGCGUUUAGUAUUUGGUCGUAGACCCGAAACCAGGUGAUCUACCCUUGGUCAGGUUGAAGUUCAGGUAACACUGAAUGGAGGACCGAACCGACUUACGUUGAAAAGUGAGCGGAUGAACUGAGGGUAGCGGAGAAAUUCCAAUCGAACCUGGAGAUAGCUGGUUCUCUCCGAAAUAGCUUUAGGGCUAGCCUCAAGUGAUGAUUAUUGGAGGUAGAGCACUGUUUGGACGAGGGGCCCCUCUCGGGUUACCGAAUUCAGACAAACUCCGAAUGCCAAUUAAUUUAACUUGGGAGUCAGAACAUGGGUGAUAAGGUCCGUGUUCGAAAGGGAAACAGCCCAGACCACCAGCUAAGGUCCCAAAAUAUAUGUUAAGUGGAAAAGGAUGUGGCGUUGCCCAGACAACUAGGAUGUUGGCUUAGAAGCAGCCAUCAUUUAAAGAGUGCGUAAUAGCUCACUAGUCGAGUGACACUGCGCCGAAAAUGUACCGGGGCUAAACAUAUUACCGAAGCUGUGGAUUGUCCUUUGGACAAUGGUAGGAGAGCGUUCUAAGGGCGUUGAAGCAUGAUCGUAAGGACAUGUGGAGCGCUUAGAAGUGAGAAUGCCGGUGUGAGUAGCGAAAGACGGGUGAGAAUCCCGUCCACCGAUUGACUAAGGUUUCCAGAGGAAGGCUCGUCCGCUCUGGGUUAGUCGGGUCCUAAGCUGAGGCCGACAGGCGUAGGCGAUGGAUAACAGGUUGAUAUUCCUGUACCACCUAUAAUCGUUUUAAUCGAUGGGGGGACGCAGUAGGAUAGGCGAAGCGUGCGAUUGGAUUGCACGUCUAAGCAGUAAGGCUGAGUAUUAGGCAAAUCCGGUACUCGUUAAGGCUGAGCAGUGAUGGGGAGAAGACAUUGUGUCUUCGAGUCGUU